GAGGGCGGGUCGGACGGGAACAGCGCCGGCGCCGCAGUCUGCGUCCUCCGGUGCCAGGUUUCUGCGGGGAUUGCACCCGCGUCUGUCUUCCGCCGCCUGCCUGACUUCGCUUCGUGAGGCAGACCUCGGGCGGCCUUGAGGGGAGGCGGCGGCGGGAGAUGCGCGCACCGAGCGGGCUCGCAGCGGUCGUUCGCCCCGCCCCCGACCCCGCGCAAGCGGGAGGUCCGCCGCACGACCCGCGGAGUUCGGUUUCUCGAGCGGAAGCGCGUCGGCAGGAGCCGAGCUCGCGACCCAAGUAUGCCGAGCGGGGAGUGGCGUCUCCGACGGUCGUGGGCUUGGCUCGUGGUAGCUCUCCAUUGGGUCGCUCAGAAACAUGGAAGCCUCACAGCGCUCGUGGAAGGUCCGGAGGCCAGAAGUCCAGCAUCGGUGUCACUGGGCUGAAACCAAGGUGCUGGCAGGACCCUGUUCCUUCUGGAGACUCUAAGGCACAAGCCCUCCCUGCCUCUUCCAGAUUCUGGUGGCUGCUGCCAUUCCUUAGCUUGUGGCCACAUCCCUCCAGUCUCUGUGAUCACAUUGCCUUCUCUCUGAGUGUUAACUCUUCCCUCUGUCUCUUUCUUAUAAGGGCAUUUGGGCUGGCAUUUAGCUAUCUCCCCCCCCCCCCAAAAAAAAACACAAAGAUAAUCUCUCCAUCUCAAAAUCUUUAACUUAAUCACAUCUGCAAAGACGUGAUUAAGGUCAUGACACAGGAUCCAGGGGUUAGGACCUGACAUCUUUGGAGGCGGGUAUUCAAACUACUGCAGGUGAGACAGGUUUCCUGGGCAGGCCUUAGCAGUGGGCAGGGGGGAGGGGGGUCUUUGAAAAGCAUAUGAUACAAAAGAAGGGGAGGGAACGGGACUGGGAAGUGGUGAAAUGUUAGUUUAGAUGGCUGUACAAAUGGGUUAUGACGUCACCUUCAUGGUGAACACCAGAUGAAGCACUUGGGCCCAGAACUGGAGGGGGCGUGGCUCACUGGUCGUCCUGUCUAGAAUGGGGCCAGGCCCAGUGUUCUCACAAUUGAGAAGCCCUCUUUAAACCUCAGUGUCAAAAAAGGUGGGUUCCAAGGUGAAGUGCCUCCCCACCCAGAAGCAAUGCUCUGCUGUGCGGUUCCCUUUCUUAGAAGGGCCUGGUCACCUCGUCCAGUUUCCUCACCACCCUGGUCCUCUAAGACCAAAGACACCUGCGAGUCCUCCAGUUCGGGCGACAGUCGCCACUGGCAUUAACCAGAUUGCACCAACCGCUCCGUGCCAGUGUCUAGCAGCCCUUUUGCCCUGAGCAAGACUGUGUGUGCCUAUGUGUACGUGUGAUAGCAGUAGUAACUGGGUGUUGGAUCACAGACUGGACAGUAAGAAAAUGGACUCACAUGGGAUUUCUUAGGUAGUAAUCGGUCAGUUGCUAUCAUGAAAGGAGGUGAGGAAUACAAUUUUUUACAUAUCCUUUAAAAUCUGCACUGAGGGAUUCCUUGUGUAAAGGUAGACCCACCUUCCCAAGGCCAAGAAAUGGAGUGAAGAUCGACAGCGACUGAGGAACAAGUGUCUGCCCUCGACUGUGAUUCAACCCACACGCCACCAUGCUUUUCAGGAAUAGUGAGUCCCACGGUAUGAACCAGAAACCGAGGCUCAUUAAGGCGAGGAGGUGGAGAACGGGGACUGGAACCAGGUCUGACUGCAAAGUCCUUGACCUUUCAAAUAGCUGCUCUGAAAGGAUUUCUGAAGUACUGGGUAGAAAUUUGCUGACUGGUCAGUCUUUUGUCUUCUUUUCUCCUAGUGGGGAGGGGGGAAUCCGGGAAAGGAGGAGGCGUGUGCAGGUGGGGAUAAGCCAGAAGCAGGGAUUCAUACUCCACAGCCCGUUCGCUGACUGAGCCGGAGGACGGCUACCUACUCCAUGAAGAGAACGCCCCCGCCCCCUGCCCUCCCGCCCUGGGACUCCGUGGAUCUCCGUUGAUUUGGUGUUCCAUCUGGUUCCCUGAUAUCUGUGAAAUUGCUGCCUAGAAACAGACACCCUGUUCCCUUGAUGCUUCCUGCUCCCCUAAGGCUGACCAAUUACUGUCAACGUUCCCGCACUUCGGAAAGUGACAGGUGGUGCUUACCAGUGGCCCAGAACCACAGUAAUGGCAUCAGAGGUUCGACCAAGUCUGCAUAUGUAAUUCAGCUGACAUACCAGUUGCUGUCAGAAGUCUAGAAUUUUCGAAAUAACAAUGGAAAUAUUCCCAAAAAUUUUUGACUUAAAAAAAGAACAAGUACAUUUCAAAAAGAAGAUGUUUGGAGUCUGUGAUAGGGAAGGAAGGAUGGAAAAAGUGUUUGGGCAUCCUUCUGAAAUCUGAUUUCCUUCAGAUCUGCUUUCCCCUGCAAUCAGCGGGCUGGAGUGGUGGCUUCAACAUCACAGUGCACUCGUUAAGACAGUAUUACCACUGCUACCAGCAGUGGAAUAACUAUUUGAAAUUAGGCCCUGUGCUCUUUCUCCUGAGAUUGAAGUUAGUGCAUCAGAAUUCCAUAUUGAAAGUAAAAUCCUCUCCCAGUACUGCAAGAAAGGGGGCCCUCACUGCCUGCAUUGCCCUUCACUGGCCAGCAGAAUGAGGGACCUGUUUUGGGCUCGGGUGCCAAAAAAAUUCUAAGUGGUUACCGAGACAAUUAUGCUAUAAUACCAACCAUUAAUUGUUUCAACCAGUCUAAACUAACCAAGGCAUUAAGGCAUGUGGUUGCGGUCCUUUGCUAUAGCAGUACAGAGAACACCAGCCGUGUGUGCAAGGCGCCGUGUUGUCGAGUGUAAGCUUCCCGUACAGCACCAGUCCUUGUUCUCUGCCAUUUACCUGUACUCCUUUCCACAGUGCCACGGGCUGGGGGCUUAAACAAGAGGCUUUUAUUUAUUUUCUCACAGUUCUGGAAGCCAGCGGUCCACAGUCACGGGGUCAGUAGGGGUCAGAGCCUGGCUCUGAAGGCUCCUGGUGAGACUCCUUCCGACCCUGUCCAGCUCCAGUGGCCGUCAGCACCGCUGGGUGUCCUCGGCUUCUGACUGCAUCACUCCAAUCUCUGCCCCUGUAUUCACGUGGCUUUCUCCCUGUGUCUCCAUAUAAGGACGUCAGACAUUAGAUGAGAGACCACCCUACUCUAGUGUGACUUCAUAUGAACUUGAUGGCAUCUGUAAAGACCCCAAUUCCAAAUAAGGUCACAGUUGUGGGUAUCAGGGAGUCAAACUCCAAUAUAUCUUUUUGGGGAGUACACUCAACCCACAGCAGUGUCUCUUAUGGAAACCUCUAAAAAUUGUGGGGAGGUAUUUUCAUUUCAGGCACUUGAAAUUACAGAUUUUUAAAAAGUGUAUUUUGUAAAUGAAGAUUGAGUGACAACUGAAGCGAUGUUAGAAUGGUCACUGAGUGUCAGCCACAGCUGGGCGAGGCUUCAUUAACAGAUUUGGGAGAGUGGAGAAAGUAAAGCCCUCUGUAUGUGCAUAGGAACUUCCUGCAUUUUGAUUUUAUGGAAAUUAAUCAUUCAUUUGUUUGUUCAACAAAUACUUGCUGCAUCCUAAGAUCCAUGAAAGAGAAAAUGGACCUGCCAUCCUCUCCUCGGAAUUACUGGUCACUGUCAACUGGUGGGAUGCUAUUUUUCCAUGUGCCUCUCCCAACUCUUCAUCUAACCCUGGUCCGCCUUUAGCCCUGGCUUGAGGUGCACCCUGACCUUUUUCUCCCCUAAGUCUCCCAUUUUUCCAUUCCAAAUCAGGGUGGCCUCCCAUGUCCUCAUCCCCAUACCCAGGAUGGAGACACGGGUGGUUUGCGUUUCUGUUUGUGUCUGGCCUGUGGCAGGACCUGUGGGCUCCUCCGCGCUUCCAUCCCCACCCGGGGUGGGCAGGACAGUGGUCUCACAUUGUUCUUUGGAUGUAGAGGUGAGGAUGGACGGUACCCAUGGGUGACCCAGGCAUCAAUUAAAUUCAAAACCACUGUGAAGGGGAAAAAAAGCCAAUGUCAUGUGAAUCACAGAACA